GAUGAAGAACGUAGCGAAAUGCGAUAAGUAAUGCGAAUUGCAGAAUUUCCGUGAAUCAUCGAAUCUUUGAACGCACAUUGCGCCCCUUGGUAUUCCAUGGGGCAUGCCUGUUCGAGCGUCAUUUGUACCUUCAAGCUUUGCUUGGUGUUGGGUGUUUGUCUCGCCUCCGCGUGUAGACUCGCCUCAAAACAAUUGGCAGCCGGCGUAUUGAUUUCGGAGCGCAGUACAUCUCGCGCUUUGCACUCACAACGACGACGUCCAAAAGUACAUUUUUACACUCUUGACCUCGGAUCAGGUAGGGAUACCCGCUGAACUUAAGCAUAUCAAUAAGCGGAGGA
rnacentral:misc_RNA from 1 species